UGGGCCGUAGUUUCCACUGGCCCUGGGGCCUUGAAGGAUUCCACUUUGGUUUUGAGAAGUGAGAAGUUCGCUUUUGAGAAGUUCUUCACUGUGGUUUUCUGGGCU